rnacentral:rRNA from 1 species
GGUUAAGCGACUAAGCGUACACGGUGGAUGCCCUGGCAGUCAGAGGCGAUGAAGGACGUGCUAAUCUGCGAUAAGCGCCGGUAAGGUGAUAUGAACCGUUAUAACCGGCGAUUUCCGAAUGGGGAAACCCAGUGUGACUCGUCACACUAUCAUUAACUGAAUCCAUAGGUUAAUGAGGCGAACCGGGGGAACUGAAACAUCUAAGUACCCCGAGGAAAAGAAAUCAACCGAGAUUCCCCCAGUAGCGGCGAGCGAACGGGGAGGAGCCCAGAGCCUGAAUCAGCAUGUGUGUUAGUGGAAGCGUCUGGAAAGGCGCGCGAUACAGGGUGACAGCCCCGUACACAAAAGCGCAUGUGCUGUGAGCUCGAUGAGUAGGGCGGGACACGUGGUAUCCUGUCUGAAUAUGGGGGGACCAUCCUCCAAGGCUAAAUACUCCUGACUGACCGAUAGUGAACCAGUACCGUGAGGGAAAGGCGAAAAGAACCCCGGCGAGGGGAGUGAAAAAGAACCUGAAACCGUGUACGUACAAGCAGUGGGAGCACCCUUUGGGGUGUGACUGCGUACCUUUUGUAUAAUGGGUCAGCGACUUAUAUUCUGUAGCAAGGUUAACCGAAUAGGGGAGCCGGAGGGAAACCGAGUCUUAAUUGGGCGUUAAGUUGCAGGGUAUAGACCCGAAACCCGGUGAUCUAGCCAUGGGCAGGUUGAAGGUUGGGUAACACUAACUGGAGGACCGAACCGACUAAUGUUGAAAAAUUAGCGGAUGACCUGUGGCUGGGGGUGAAAGGCCAAUCAAACCGGGAGAUAGCUGGUUCUCCCCGAAAGCUAUUUAGGUAGCGCCUCGUGAAUUCAUCUCCGGGGGUAGAGCACUGUUUCGGCUAGGGGGCCAUCCCGGCUUACCAACCCGAUGCAAACUGCGAAUACCGGAGAAUGUUAUCACGGGAGACACACGGCGGGUGCUAACGUCCGUCGUGAAGAGGGAAACAACCCAGACCGCCAGCUAAGGUCCCAAAGUCAUGGUUAAGUGGGAAACGAUGUGGGAAGGCCCAGACAGCCAGGAUGUUGGCUUAGAAGCAGCCAUCAUUUAAAGAAAGCGUAAUAGCUCACUGGUCGAGUCGGCCUGCGCGGAAGAUGUAACGGGGCUAAACCAUGCACCGAAGCUGCGGCAGCGACGCUGAUGCGUUGUUGGGUAGGGGAGCGUUCUGUAAGCCUGUGAAGGUGGCCUGUGAGGGUUGCUGGAGGUAUCAGAAGUGCGAAUGCUGACAUAAGUAACGAUAAAGCGGGUGAAAAGCCCGCUCGCCGGAAGACCAAGGGUUCCUGUCCAACGUUAAUCGGGGCAGGGUGAGUCGACCCCUAAGGCGAGGCCGAAAGGCGUAGUCGAUGGGAAACGGGUUAAUAUUCCCGUACUUGGUGUUACUGCGAAGGGGGGACGGAGAAGGCUAUGUUGGCCGGGCGACGGUUGUCCCGGUUUAAGCGUGUAGGUGUGUGUUCCAGGUAAAUCCGGUUCACUUUAACACUGAGGCGUGA